GACGAACGCUGGCGGCGUGCCUAAUACAUGCAAGUAGAACGCUGAAGAGAGGAGCUUGCUCUUCUUGGAUGAGUUGCGAACGGGUGAGUAACGCGUAGGUAACCUGCCUUGUAGCGGGGGAUAACUAUUGGAAACGAUAGCUAAUACCGCAUAACAAUGGAUGACACAUGUCAUUUAUUUGAAAGGGGCAAUUGCUCCACUACAAGAUGGACCUGCGUUGUAUUAGCUAGUAGGUGAGGUAAUGGCUCACCUAGGCGACGAUACAUAGCCGACCUGAGAGGGUGAUCGGCCACACUGGGACUGAGACACGGCCCAGACUCCUACGGGAGGCAGCAGUAGGGAAUCUUCGGCAAUGGGGGCAACCCUGACCGGGCAACGCCGCGUGAGUGAAGAAGGUUUUCGGAUCGUAAAGCUCUGUUGUAAGUCAAGAACGGGUGUGAGAGUGGAAAGUUCACACUGUGACGGUAGCUUACCAGAAAGGGACGGCUAACUACGUG
rnacentral:rRNA from 1 species